rnacentral:lncRNA from 1 species
CUUUAAAAAGACUUGAAAAUUUAAAAAGGAUUUCUCAGGGAUGUACUCAUCUUAAACUAUGAGAUUUUUCUGAUGAAAUACGACUUACUGGUCUGUGUGUCUCAAAUUUCAUGAAUAUGUCUUAUAUAAUGGACGAAUUGUGUGCCCUAUUCAUUUUUGUAUAUGGUUAGCUGGAGAUGAUUUUUAGAUCUGUUUUUAAAAAGAUUUUUCAAUCUUUUAAAUUCUGUACUUUCAACAACUUGAACAUCAGCUGCAAAUUAUGAAUAAACAGGGAAAAUGGGAAUAUUAUUAACAUACCUAUGGGUUACAUUACUUAAUAACAUGAAAGGGUUAUCAUGCAUUUGGGAAUGUGAGACCACUUGAUUUUUCUUUUUUAAUAUUUAUAUGAAGGGAAUCUAAUUAUAUAUGGGUAAUU